AAGAUGUUUGAGAGGAAAAACUAACUUAAGUAUUGUUGAGCCUCAGCUGAGAAGUUGCUUGGCGUCUUUGAAAAAUGAAAGAUUAAGUACAAACCUGGCCCAUACUUAUCGCGUGUUGAUCAACUUGGAGAGCAGUAUAACCUGGAGAAAGUUGAUAGCAGAAGAACGGAUGUCUCAAGGUCAAACACUCCGUUCUUGGAUAAGCUGACAUAUAACCUGACAUAGAGACUGAAUGUCCUGACAAGUCUUUCUGCACUGGAUCUGAGGAAGGCUGGAGACUCUUCAUUCUUGACAUUCAAUGAUUACAGAGCUGACAGAGCACUUUGGCCUUGAUGUUGAUCAGACAAAGCUUGAGUGAAGUCAGGUCAAGGAACUCUUUGCUUGGGAAGUUGACACCUGUUCAUCAUCCACCAUCCUGAAGACUCUGACAAGCCUCAAAACUCAACCCAAACAUUGUGAAGCUCCUGAGCAUUCAUGCUACUGUGAUCCUACUGUGACAUCAGAGGUUGAGAGAGUCUUCUCCAGGUAAGACUCAUUGUGACAGCCGAUAGGAACAGGCUGGAAGUAGAUAACUGCACCAAGCUACUUGUGGUCAGCAUGAAUGCAAAGUCUUCUACUGACAUUGACUUGAGGAAGUCAAGAGGAGAACAUGAAUGAAAUUUAUGAAUUUGCCUCAAAGUAUGCCAAACAGACCCAAAAUGAUGUCAACCUGAAUAAAGUUCUGUACCCUUA